AUUGAACGCUGGCGGCAGGCCUAACACAUGCAAGUCGAACGGUAACAGGAAGCAGCUUGCUGCUUAGCUGACGCGUGGCGGACGGGUGAGAAAAGUCUGGGAAGCUGCCUGUUGGAGGGGGAUAACUACUGGAAACGGUAGCUAAUACCGCAUAAUGUCGCAAGACCAAAGAGGGGGACCUUCGGGCCCCUUGCCAUCGGAUGUGCCCAGAUGGGAUUAGCUUGUUGGUGGGGUAACGGCUCACCAAGGCGACGAUCCCUAGCUGGUCUGAGAGGAUGACCAGCCACACUGGAACUGAGACACGGUCCAGACUCCUACGGGAGGCAGCAGUGGGGAAUAUUGCACAAUGGGCGCAAGCCUGAUGCAGCCAUGCCGCGUGUAUGAAGAAGGCCUUCGGGUUGUAAAGUACUUUCAGCGGGGAGGAAGGGAGUAAAGUUAAUACCUUGGCUCAUUGACGUUACCCGCAGAAGAAGCACCGGCUAACUCCGUG
rnacentral:rRNA from 1 species